rnacentral:rRNA from 1 species
UGGGGAAUAUUGGACAAUGGGCGCAAGCCUGAUCCAGCCAUGCCGCGUGAGUGAUGAAGGCCUUAGGGUUGUAAUGCUCUUUUAGCGGGGAAGAUAAUGACGGUACCCGCAGAAUAAGCCCCGGCUAACUUCGUGCCAGCAGCCGCGGUAAUACGAAGGGGGCUAGCGUUGUUCGGAAUUACUGGGCGUAAAGCGCACGUAGGCGGAUUGACAAGUCAGGGGUGAAAUCCCGGGGGCUCAACCUCGGAACUGCCUUUGAUACUGUCAGUCUAGAGUCCGGAAGAGGUGGGUGGAAUUCCUAGUGUAGAGGUGAAAUUCGCAGAUAUUAGGAAGAACACCGGUGGCGAAGGCGGCCCACUGGUCCGGAACUGACGCUGAGGUGCGAAAGCGUGGGGAGCAAACAGGAUUAGAGACCCUGGUAG